rnacentral:rRNA from 1 species
GAUGAACGCUAGCGGCAGGCCUAAUACAUGCAAGUCGAACGGUGUCUUCGGACAUAGUGGCGCACGGGUGCGUAACACGUAUGCAACCUACCUUACAUUGGGGGAUAGCCUUUCGAAAGGGAGAUUAAUACCGCAUAAGACAGUAGCUGGGCAUCCAGCAGCUGUUAAAGAUUUAUCGAUGUAAGCUGGGCAUGCGUCCAAUUAGCUAGUUGGUGAGGUAACGGCUCACCAAGGCAAUGAUUGGUAGGGGAACUGAGAGGUCAAUCCCCCACACGGGCACUGGGAUACGGGCCAGACUCCUACGGGAGGCAGCAGUAGGGAAUAUUGGGCAAUGGACGCAAGUCUGACCCAGCCAUGCCGCGUGCAGGAUGAAGGCGUUAUGCGUUGUAAACUGCUUUUAUACAGGAAGAAACGACUCUUGCGAGAGGCAUUGACGGUACUGUAUGAAUAAGCACCGGCUAACUCCGUGCCAGCCGCCGCCGUAAAAC